CAGUCGCCACGGUAAUACGAAGGGGGCUAGCGUUGUUCGGAUUUACUGGGCGUAAAGCGCACGUAGGCGGAUCGAUCAGUCAGGGGUGAAAUCCCAGAGCUCAACUCUGGAACUGCCUUUGAUACUGUCGAUCUGGAGUAUGGAAGAGGUGAGUGGAAUUCCGAGUGUAGAGGUGAAAUUCGUAGAUAUUCGGAGGAACACCAGUGGCGAAGGCGGCUCACUGGUCCAUUACUGACGCUGAGGUGCGAAAGCGUGGGGAGCAAACAGGAUUAGAUACCCGCGUAGUCCCUGUCUCUUAUAC
rnacentral:rRNA from 1 species